rnacentral:rRNA from 1 species
CCUGCCCUAAAGACUUGGGAUACCACUUGGAAACAGGUGCUAAUACCGGAUAACAACAGAAGCUGCAUGGCUUUUGUUUGAAAGGUGGCUUUAAGCUGUCACUUUAGGAUGGGCCCGCGGUGCAUUAGCUAGUUGGUGGGGUAACGGCUCACCAAGGCAGUGAUGCAUAGCCGAGUUGAGAGACUGAUCGGCCACAUUGGGACUGAGACACGGCCCAAACUCCUACGGGAGGCAGCAGUAGGGAAUCUUCCACAAUGGACGCAAGUCUGAUGGAGCAACGCCGCGUGAGUGAAGAAGGUUUUCGGAUCGUAAAGCUCUGUUGUUGGUGAAGAAGGACGGCAGUAGUAACUGGCUGUCGUUUGACGGUAAUCAACCAGAAAGUCACGGCUAACUACGUGCCAGCAGCCGCGGUAAUACGUAGGUGGCAAGCGUUGUCCGGAUUUAUUGGGCGUAAAGCGAGCGCAGGCGGAAAGAUAAGUCUGAAGUGAAAGCCCCCGGCUUAACCGGGGAACUGCUUCGGAAACUGUCUUUCUUGAGUGCAGAAGAGGAGAGUGGAACUCCAUGUGUAGCGGUGGAAUGCGUAGAUAUAUGGAAGAACACCAGUGGCGAAGGCGGCUCUCUG